rnacentral:rRNA from 1 species
UAGGGAAUCUUCCGCAAUGGACGCAAGUCUGACGGAGCAACGCCGCGUGAGUGAAGAAGGAUUUCGGUUCGUAAAACUCUGUUGUUAGAGAAGAACAGCGCAUAGAGUAACUGCUAUGCGUGUGACGGUAUCUAACCAGAAAGCCACGGCUAACUACGUGCCAGCAGCCGCGGUAAUACGUAGGUGGCAAGCGUUGUCCGGAUUUAUUGGGCGUAAAGCGAGCGCAGGCGGUCAAUUAAGUCUGAUGUGAAAGCCCCCGGCUCAACCGGGGAGGGUCAUUGGAAACUGGUUGACUUGAGUGCAGGAGGGGGGAGGGGAAUUCCAUGUGUAGCGGUGAAAUGCGUAGAUAUAUGGAGGAACACCAGUGGCGAAGGCGACUCUCUGGUCUGUAACUGACGCUGGGGCUCGAAAGCGUGGGUAGCAAACAGG